rnacentral:rRNA from 1 species
UUUUAGAGUUUGAAUCUGGCUCAGAUUGAACGCUGGCGGCAGGCCUAACACAUGCAAGUCGAGCGGAUGAGUGGAGCUUGCUCCAUGAUUCAGCGGCGGACGGGUGAGUAAUGCCUAGGAAUCUGCCUGGUAGUGGGGGACAACGUUUCGAAAGGAACGCUAAUACCGCAUACGUCCUACGGGAGAAAGUGGGGGAUCUUCGGACCUCACGCUAUCAGAUGAGCCUAGGUCGGAUUAGCUAGUUGGUGAGGUAAAGGCUCACCAAGGCGACGAUCCGUAACUGGUCUGAGAGGAUGAUCAGUCACACUGGAACUGAGACACGGUCCAGACUCCUACGGGAGGCAGCAGUGGGGAAUAUUGGACAAUGGGCGAAAGCCUGAUCCACCCAUGCCGCGUGUGUGAAGAAGGUCUUCGGAUUGUAAAGCACUUUAAGUUGGGAGGAAGGGCAGUAAGUUAAUACCUUGCUGUUUUGACGUUACCAACAGAAUAAGCACCGGCUAACUUCGUGCCAGCAGCCGCGGUAAUACGAAGGGUGCAAGCGUUAAUCGGAAUUACUGGGCGUAAAGCGCGCGUAGGUGGUUCGUUAAGUUGGAUGUGAAAGCCCCGGGCUCAACCUGGGAACUGCAUCCAAAACUGGCGAGCUAGAGUAUGGCAGAGGGUGGUGGAAUUUCCUGUGUAGCGGUGAAAUGCGUAGAUAUAGGAAGGAACCCCAGUGGCGAAGGCGACCUCCUGGGCUAAUACUGACACUGAGGUGCGAAAGCGUGGGGAGCAACCAGGAUUAGAUACCCUGGUAGUCCCCCCCGUAAACGAUGUCGACUAGCCGUUGGGAUCCUUGAGAUCUUAGUGGCGCAGCUAACGCAUUAAGUCGACCGCCUGGG